rnacentral:rRNA from 1 species
ACAGAGGGUGCAAGCGUUAAUCGGAAUUACUGGGCGUAAAGCGUGCGUAGGUGGUUUGUUAAGUCAGGCGUGAAAUCCCUGGGCUCAACCUGGGAACUGCGCUUGAUACUGGCAGACUAGAGUGUGGUAGAGGGUAGUGGAAUUCCGCAUGUAGCAGUGAAAUGCGUAGAUAUGCGGAGGAACACCAGUGGCGAAGGCGGCUACCUGGACCAACACUGACACUGAGGCACGAAAGCGUGGGGAGCAAACAGGAUUAGAUACCCUGGUAGUCCACGCCCUAAACGAUGGGUACUAGACGUCGGGAAGUUUAUCUUCUUGGUGUCGCAGCUAACGCAAUAAGUACCCCGCCUGGGGAGUACGGUCGCAAGAUUA